UACGGAGGGGACUAGCGUUGUUCGGAAUUACUGGGCGUAAAGCGCACGUAGGCGGAUUUGUAAGUCAGGGGUGAAAUCCCGGGGCUCAACCUCGGAACUGCCUUUGAUACUGCAAAUCUCGAGUCCGGAAGAGGUGAGUGGAAUUCCUAGUGUAGAGGUGAAAUUCGUAGAUAUUAGGAAGAACACCAGUGGCGAAGGCGGCUCACUGGUCCGGUACUGACGCUGAGGUGCGAAAGCGUGGGGAGCGAACGGG
rnacentral:rRNA from 1 species